AUACAGGGGGUGCGAGCGUUAAUCGGAAUUACUGGGCGUAAAGCGCACGUAGGCGGAUUAAAAAGUUAGAGGGGAAAUCCCAGGGCUUAACCCUGGAACUGCCUUUAAAACUAGUAGUCUAGAGUUCGAGAGAGGUGAGUGGAAUUCCAAGUGUAGAGGUGAAAUUCGUAGAUAUUUGGAGGAACACCAGUGGCGAAGGCGGCUCACUGGCUCGAUACUGACGCUGAGGUGCGAAAGCGUGGGGAGCAAACAGGAUUAGAAACCCCGGUAGUCC
rnacentral:rRNA from 1 species